GAUGAACGCUGGCGGCGUGCCUAAUGCAUGCAAGUCGAGCGAACAGACGAGGAGCUUGCUCCUCUGACGUUAGCGGCGGACGGGUGAGUAACACGUGGAUAACCUACCUGUAAGACUGGGAUAACUUCGGGAAACCGGAGCUAAUACCGGAUAAUAUAUUGAACCGCAUGGUUCAAUAGUGAAAGACGGUUUUGCUGUCACUUAUAGAUGGAUCCGCGCCGCAUUAGCUAGUUGGUAAGGUAACGGCUUACCAAGGCAACGAUGCGUAGCCGACCUGAGAGGGUGAUCGGCCACACUGGAACUGAGACACGGUCCAGACUCCUACGGGAGGCAGCAGUAGGGAAUCUUCCGCAAUGGGCGAAAGCCUGACGGAGCAACGCCGCGUGAGUGAUGAAGGUCUUCGGAUCGUAAAACUCUGUUAUUAGGGAAGAACAAAUGUGUAAGUAACUAUGCACGUCUUGACGGUACCUAAUCAGAAAGCCACGGCUAACUACGUG
rnacentral:rRNA from 1 species